UACGUAGGGGGCAAGCGUUGUCCGGAUUUAUUGGGCGUAAAGAGCUCGUAGGUGGUUCGGUAAGUCGGAUGUGAAAUCUCCAGGCUCAACCUGGAGGGGUCAUUCGAUACUGCCGUGACUAGAGGUCGGUAGGGGAGAGUGGAAUUCCUGGUGUAGCGGUGAAAUGCGCAGAUACAGGAAGAACACCCGUGGCGAAGGCGGCUCUCUGGGACGGUACUGACGCUGAGACGGCGAAAGCGUGGGGAGCGAACAGG
rnacentral:rRNA from 1 species